ACGUAGGGUGCAAGCGUUGUCCGGAAUUAUUGGGCGUAAAGAGCUCGUAGGCGGUUUGUCGCGUCUGCUGUGAAAACUCGGGGCUUAACCCCGGGCCUGCAGUGGGUACGGGCAGACUAGAGUGCGGUAGGGGAGACUGGAAUUCCUGGUGUAGCGGUGAAAUGCGCAGAUAUCAGGAGGAACAUCAGUGGCGAAGGCGGCUUUCUGGCCAAACACUGACGCUGAGGUGCGAAAGCGUGGGGAGCAAACAGGA
rnacentral:rRNA from 1 species